rnacentral:rRNA from 1 species
AUUGAACGCUGGCGGCAGGCCUAACACAUGCAAGUCGAACGGUAGCACAGAGAGCUUGCUCUCGGGUGACGAGUGGCGGACGGGUGAGUAAUGUCUGGGAAACUGCCUGACGGAGGGGGAUAACUACUGGAAACGGUAGCUAAUACCGCAUAACGUCGCAAGACUAAAGAGGGAGACCUUCGGGCCUCUAGACAUCGGAUGUGCCAAGAUGGGAUUAGCUAGUAGGUGGGGUAACGGCCACCCUGGGCGACGAUCCCUAGCUGGUCUGAGAGGAGGACCAGCCACCCUGGAACUGAGACACGGUCCAGACUCCUACGGGAGGCAGCAGUGGGGAAUAUUGCACAAUGGGCGCAAGCCUGAUGCAGCCAUGCCUCGUGUAUGAAGAAGGCCUUCGGGUUGUAAAGUACUUUCAGCGGGGAGGAAGGGGUUGAGUUUAAUACGCUCAAUCAUUGACGUUACCCGCAGAAGAAGCACCGGCUAACUCCGUGCCAGCAGCCGCCGUAAGAC